GGUUUCACCAUGUUGGCCAGGCUGGUCUGGAGUGCCCGACCUCAGGUGAUCCGCCAGCCUCGGCCUCCCAAAGUGCUGGAAUAUAGGCUUGAGCCACCGCGCCCUGCCUUUUUUGGAGAGUUUUUAAAGAGAAGCCAUACUAUGAAUGGAUGAAAGGAAGGACAUAUGUCUGCCUGAUUCUCUUUUUUCCACCUGAGUACUAACCAGGCCCCACCCUGCUUAGCUUCCGAGAGCAGGCGAGAUUGGGCUCAUUCAGGGUGGUAUGGCCAGACUCUGAUUCUCUUUCAUUUCCUGUUUCCCAAUGGUCAAGAUUUACUCCAUGGAAAGUUAAGGCCCCUUACACUUCUGGGUGGCAUCAUCUAGCCCCUUCUCAGCUGCUCAGGUGCCGUGCCCCACUAUGUAGCAUUUCAUCUGUGACACUGGGAAUGAGGCGCCAACUGAGAGAAGACAGCAAUUGAGGGAAUCUUGAAAAAGGGCAAGGUUUAUGUCCAAUACAGAGACUGGAGAUGUUUUCACUUUAAUCUUCCUAGACUUGUGGACAGUACCUGCAGUACGUGGAUCAUUCAUGUGAAUGGCUUUCAGAUUACACCAGGUAAUGCUUUCUUUGUCCCAACAGUGUGAUGGUCAUGGGGAAAGCUUCCAGCCCCAUGGGAAGCCAGCAGUGGCAAUAGUUUGGGGAAGGCUGUUCUUUCAGCAUUCCUCAAAUCAGUGAACUUACUCAGUGGAGGGUUGGUUUGGGAUGUGUUCUUGGGUUGAGGGUUUGGCCUCAAUUAAAUUUAAACAAUAGAUUCCUGUAACAUAAAGAGUAAAAUUAUAACAUUAUACAAUGUUAUAUAUAGCUGAAAGGGAUCUUACUCUUCCCAUUCUUUUCUGAAUGAUUUUGUGAAGAGCCUGACAAAAUCUCCUUUUCUUCCUUCUCUCCUUCUUCCUUCUCAUUCUCACAAAGCAGAGAGAUAAAGGCAAGAAGCCUAUCACUCAAACACUGUCCCAUGUCCCAGUAAACACAAACAGAGCUCCCGAAGGAGCUUUCAGAAAAUUGCCCCUGCUGGCGUAUUCCUUGUUUGGGUGCCAGGUGAGGGGAACCCUAUUGUGUGAAUACACAAUGUGCCCAGUCUCUCUCCAUCGAGGUCCAUCACCAUCUUUCUGCUGGUUGGAGAUUAUCACUGGCAACGCCUGCAGAGGAACCUGGGACCAUAUCUGCCCACUCUAGUCCCUCCACGAAAGCCGCAGGAGGAUUGCCCCUUACUGACCACCUGCUGGCAUGCACUGAUGAAACUUCAGGUCACACAGUUGCUGCCACGGAGAUUACAGAGAUCUUUUGGGAAGUGGAUGUGAAGGGCUCCGGAAUGUUCCUGCCUGUGCCAUUCCAGGGCCAGGGAAUUCUUUGAAAGGCA
rnacentral:lncRNA from 10 species